rnacentral:lncRNA from 1 species
AUGCACACAUGCCAAUCCUCCCAUCAGGAGCCACUGGCGAUCCCCAGGACCCUCCCCACCUCAGCCUCAUGUGUGGAUGGUGCCACCUCCAUACCCCCUGCUCUUCAGCAUCAGGUAACGUGCACCCCUGACAGUGCCAUCCUGGCACUCUUCUCCUGGGCAUUUUGCCAUUCUCCUAGGAGAAAUCAUUCAAAAUGGCCCCUCCACCUUCCUGCUUGGACAUCUGAGUGGACAUCCCGAGUGGAAUCCCAGAGCUCCGAGACAGCCUGGGCUCACCACAGAGGGAGAGGAAACCCUGGGAGCAGGAAGGAAGACAGCUCCUGGCCAGAGACAGGGUUGGCUAAUGGAGAGGACCCUGCCAGAGGCCAAGGGGAGGUGGCACAGCCCACUCAUCUCAUUCUGCCCCCCACGCAGGCAGCCCACAUGUGGGCGAGGAGAGACACUACCCAAGGGGCUGCUCUGGCUGGAGGGCACCAGUGGCAGGCACAUGGGGGACCCCAGCCACCGAGAGGGCAGCCCAGCCAGGUCACAAAUAUGUCUCCAAGGGGCAGCUGGCGGCUGUGGAUGCUCAGGAGUGGCAUAGGAGGCAGUGCACGGUCACCACGAGCAGAGCCAGAGCCCAGGUGCGUGAUUACAUGAUCCUGAGAUGGGAAGGAGCAGGGGCCAGGAUGGGGACAGGUCGGGAACUCCAUCAAGACACUGAGCGGGCCACAGUGGCAGGAGCGGGAGUGGAGGGAGGGGAUCUGACUGCAGAUGUGAAUUUGGGGCGCAGAGGUGGCUUUGGAAGACACAGGAGACCCCAGGAGUACAUGAGGGUGGAGACGCUCUGCGGGAAAGGACUGCAGCUCCAGCCAUGGGCUCUGGUGGGACCUGAAGACCCCCCCUGCCAGAAGCCAAGGUCUACUGUGGAGCUCGGCCCCUGUCUGCAGUCCGGAAAUGCAGACACCGCCUCUGGGAAUAAGGAAGCCGGCCACCCACCCCGGAGGCUUCCGACAGCAAUUGAGCUGCACAGCUGCCAGCCCUUGCACGCUCUUUAGGAACUGCAAUUGACGCCCAGGCUGGGGUCUAAUUGCUGGCCUGUUGCUGUGAUCUCAGAAAAGGCUGCCACCCGUGGGGGAGCCGAGAGUGUGAGUCUCGCCGCCUUCCCCAGAUAAAAUGAAGGAGGUUUUCUCUCUCCUCCUUUGAAUGGUCUGCAGGCAGGAAACCAGCAAUUAUGCAUCAAAGCGGCGGCGUUGGUGUGGCUGGGACUGGUGGUAGAGGACUUACUCCGGAACACAGUCCCCAGCAGCACGGUUAGGAGGGCCUGGGUCACGCAGUUCAGCUCCCCCUCACCACAUCUCAGAGAACCGGAGCUGCUGCCUGGACCCAUGAGGCAGGGGGAGCCAGCUGUCAGCUGCAGCAGCCACCCCCCCAGUGGUGCCACACACACCCAGAGACAGGAUGCAGCAGCUGGGGUCGGAUUCUUGGGUUGGAGCUCUUAGGACAGAGGAGGGGUAGUGCCCACAGGUGAUAAGGGGGCACCACUGCGUGGGCUGAAGCACCAGAGGCCUGGCUGGGAGCAUCCUCCAAACCCAGGUCCAGACUCCAAGGCUCCCAGAAACAGCAAGCCCAGCUGAGGUGUAUCCUCAACCAGCCCAGCCUCCCCACACCACCCCCAUCGGCAUGGGGGCCCCAGGAGCCAACCCAGCCCCCACUGAGAGGAUGAGCCCCUGAGGAUGCCCCCCAGCCAGGCAUUACAGCAGAUAAG